GGAAAGGCUUACAGUUGAUACCUAGGCACCCAGAGAUAAGGAAGGGCGUAGUAAUCGACGAAAUGCUUUAGGGAGUUGGAAAUAAGCAUAGAUCCAAAGAUUCCCCAAUAGGGCAAUCUUUCAAACUGCGGUUGAAUCCAUGGGCAGGAAAGAGACAACCAGGCGAACUAAAACAUCUUUGUAGCCAGAGAAAAAGAAAGCAAAAGUGAUUCCCAUAGUAGUGGCGAGUGAAAUGGGAGCAGCCUAAACCAGGAAAAUGGGGAUGUGGGAGAGCAAUAUAAGUGUCGUGCUGCUAGGCGAAGGAACCUGAAUGCUACACCCUAGAUGGCAAAAGACCAGUAGCCAAAAACAUCACUAGCUUACUCUCUGACCCGAGAAGCAUGGGGCACAUGGAAUCCCGUGUGAAUCAGCAAGGACCACCUUGGAAGGCUAAAUACUCCUGGGUGACCACUAGAGAAGUAGUACCGUAAGGGAAGGGUGAAAAGAACCCCCAUCGGGGAGUGAAAUAGAACAUGAAACCAUAAGCUACCAAGCAGUGGGAGGAGCCAUGGCUCUGACCGCGUGCCUGUUGCAGAAUGAGCCCGCGACUCAUAGGCAGUGGAUUUGCUAAGGGAACCCACCAGAGCAGUAGCAAAAAUGAGUCUUCAUAGGGCAAUUGUUACUGCUUAUGGACCCAAACCUAGGUGAUCUAUCCAUAACCAGGAUGAAGCUUGGGUGAAACUAAGUGGAGGUCCGAACCGACUGAUGUUGAAGAAUCAACGGAUGAGUUGUGGUUAAUAAUAAAAUACUACUCGAACCCAGAGCUAGCUGGUUCUCCCUGAAAUGCAUUGAGAUGCAGAAGUUGACUGGACAUCUAGGGGUAAAGCACUGUUUUGGUGCAGGCCACGAGAGCAGUACCAAAUCGAGGCAAACUCAAAAUACUAGGUAUGACCUUAAAAUUAAAAAAGAGGGGUCAAAGUUGGCUAGUGAGACGAUGAGGGAUAAGCUUCAUCGUCUAGAGGGAAACAGCCCGGAUUACCAGCUAAGGCCCCUAAAUGGCCACUCAGUGAUAAGGGAGGUAGGGGUGUGGAGACAGCCAGGAGGUUUUCCUAGAAACAGCCACCCUUAAAAGUGUACGUAAUAGGUCACUGAUCGAGCGCUCUUACGCUGAAGAUGAACGGGGCUAAGCGAUCUGCCGAAGCUGUGGGGUGUAAAAAUACAUAGGUAGGGGAGCGUUCCACCUUAGAAGGAAGCCUCCGCACGAGCGGUGGUAGAUGAAGCGAAAGUGAGAAUGUCAGCUUGAGUAAUGCAAACAUUGGUGAUAAUCCAAUGCCUCAAAAACCUAAGGGUUCCUCCGCAAAGUUCAUCCACAUAGGGUGAUUCAGGGCCUAAGAUCAAGCCGAAAGGCAUAGUCGAUGGACAACAGGUGAAUAUUCCUGUACUAACCCUUGUUGGUCCCGAGGGACGGAGGAGGCUAUGUUAGCCGAAAGAUGGUUAUCGGUUCAAGAACAUAAGGUUUCCCUACCUUUUUUUCAGGGUAAGAAGGGGUAGAGAAAAUGCCUUGAGCCAAUAUUCGAAUACCACGUGCUACGGUGCUGAAGUAACCCAUGUCGUACUCCCAGAAAAAGCUCAAACGACUUUGAGCAAGAGGGUACCUAUACCUGAAACUGACACAGGUGGGUAGGAAGAGAAUAGCUAGGGGCAUGAGACAACUCUCUCUAAGGAACUCAGCAAAAUAUCCCCAUAAAUUCGCAAGAAGGGGUGCCUCUUCACAUCACAAAGGGGGUCGUAGGCAUGAGACUAUGUAUGGGGGCUAAAGCCUGCCCAGUGCCAGAAGGUCAAGGAAGUUGGUGACCUGAUGAUAGGGGAGCUAGCGACCGAAACCCCGGUGAACGACGGCCAUAACUAUAAUGGUCCUAAGGUAAUGAAAUUCCUUGUCAGGUAAGUUUCGACCCACACAAAAGUCGUAACGAUCUNGCGGACUACCUGCACCUGGACAGAAAGACCCUAUGAAGCUUCACUGUUCCCUGGGAUUGGCUUUGGGCCUUUCCUGCGCAGCUUAGGUGGAAGGCGAAGAAGGCCUCCUUCCGGGGGGGCCCGAGCCAUCAGUGAGAUACCACUCUGGAAGGGCUAGAAUUCUAACCUUGUGUCAGGACCUACGGGCCAAGGGACAGUCUCAGGUAGACAGUUUCUAUGGGGCGUAGGCCUCCCUAAAGGUAACGGAGGCAUGCAAAGGUUUCCUCGGGCCGGACAGAGAUUGGCCCUCAAGUGAAAAGGCAGAAGGGAGCUUGACUUCAAGACCCACCCGUCGAGCAGGGACGAAAGUCGGCCUUAGUAAUCCAAUGGUGCCGAGUGGAAGGGCCAUCGCUCAAUGGAUAAAAGUUACUCUAGGGAUAACAGGCUUAUGUUUCCCAAGAGCUCAUAUCAACGGGAAAGUUUGGCANNNNNNNNNNNUGUUCGCCCAUUAAAGCGGUACGUGAGCUGGGUUCAAAAUGUCGUGAGACAGUUCGGUCCAUAUCCAGCAUGGGUGUUAGAGCAUUGAUAGGACCUUUCCCUAGUAUGAGAGGAUCGGGAAGGACGCACCUCUGGUGUACCAGUUAUCGUGCCCACGAUAAAUGCAGGGUAGCCAAGUGCGGAACGGAUAACUGCUGAAAGUAUCUAAGUAGUAAGCCCACCCCAAGAUGAGUGCUCUCCUAUUCCGACUUCCCCCGAGCUUUCGGUAGCACAGCCAAGAAAGCGACAAGUUCUCUUCCCCUGCAGGGAUGGAGCGACAAAGGUUUUUUUGAGAAUUCAAUAGAAAGUCACGGCGAAAUGAGACGUGUAUCAUUACGAUAGGUGUCAAGUGGAAGUGCAGUGAUGUAUGCAGUUGAGGCAUCCUAACAGACCGGUAGACUUGAAC
rnacentral:rRNA from 1 species